UACGUAGGAGGCAAGCGUUGUCCGGAUUUACUGGGCGUAAAGAGCGUGUAGGCGGUUGGGCAAGUCUGCUGUGAAAUCUCCAGGCUCAACUUGGAGGGGUCAGUGGAAACUGCUUAACUUGAGGACGGUAGAGGGGGUGGAAUUCCCGGUGUAGUGGUGAAAUGCGUAGAGAUCGGGAGGAACACCCAGGGGGAAACCAGUCGACUGGGCAUCUACUGACGCUGAUGUGCGAGAGCGUGGGGAGCGAACCGGG
rnacentral:rRNA from 1 species